rnacentral:rRNA from 1 species
GCAAGGAAUUUUCGGCAAUGGGCGCAAGCCUGACCGAGCAACGCCGCGUGGAGGACGACGGCCUUCGGGUUGUAAACUCCUUUUGCGGGGGACGACAUCGACUGUACCCCGCGAAUCAGGCUCGGCUAACUCUGUGCCAGCAGCCGCGGUAAGACAGAGGAGCCAAGCGUUGUCCGGAUUGACUGGGCGUAAAGCGCACGCAGGCGGCUGGGCACGUGGGGUGUGAAACCUGGCGGCUUAACUGCCAGACGCCACCUCAUACGGCCCGGCUCGAGGCAGGCAGAGGUUCGUGGAAUUGCCGGUGUAGUGGUGAAAUGCGUAGAGAUCGGCAGGAACACCAAGGGCGAAAGCAGCGAACUGGGCCUGUUCUGACGCUCAGGUGCGAAAGCGUGGGGAGCGAACCGGAUUAGAAACCCCAGUAGUCC